rnacentral:tRNA from 1 species
GCCACAAUAGCUCAAUUGGCAGAGCACCGCUAUCGUAAAGCGGGGGUUAAGGGUUCGAUUCCCUUUUGUGGCU